UACGAAGGGGGCUAGCGUUGCUCGGAAUUACUGGGCGUAAAGGGCGCGUAGGCGGACAGUUUAGUCAGAGGUGAAAGCCCAGGGCUCAACCUUGGAAUAGCCUUUGAUACUGGCUGUCUUGAGUUCGGGAGAGGUGAGUGGAAUGCCGAGUGUAGAGGUGAAAUUCGUAGAUAUUCGGCGGAACACCAGUGGCGAAGGCGACUCACUGGCCCGAUACUGACGCUGAGGCGCGAAAGCGUGGGGAGCAAACGGG
rnacentral:rRNA from 1 species